rnacentral:lncRNA from 1 species
GGUUUAGGGCAGUUUUGGGGCGGAUUGGGACUAACGGCAAACUGGGGUGAUUUGGGGUGGAUUGGGACUGAUUUGGGGCAAAUAGGGGCAGUUCGGGGCAAUUUUGGGGCAGAUUGGGACUAAUUUGGGGCAUAUCGGGGUGGUUUGGGGCUGAUUGGGGGCGGUUUGGGGCUGAUUCGGGGCGGUUUGGGGCUGAUUCAGGGGGUUUUGGGGCUGAUUCAAGGGGUUUUGGGGGGGGCACUGGGACAAAAUGGUGGCCCCACGUGCUGGCGGCCAUUUUAGGGCCGGGGAAGGGGGGGGGAGGCACAGGGCACACGCGUGUGCCCUCGUGUUGCACGGGGACCCCUCAUUAGUGCUAAUGAGCUAACGGUGCCACCUGUGCCUUCCUCACCGUGCCUCUUUUGGGGUGAAUCCUGCAGUUUUAGGGUCACCUCCGCUGCCUGCCUGCACCCGAAGGGACGCUUCUCUUUGCGGGCGCACCCCGGAUGCAAAAAAUCCGAAUAUUUCACGAUUUAACCUCACUUUCCUCACUCGCACACUGUCUCCUUCGUUCCUCUAAACCCUGCUUAUUUUUGAAUAAUUUUACUACAUUUUUUUAAUACAAAUCUCAGCACUCCCCCUCCCCCCCCAGCAGCAAAAUCUGUGCGUCCUAAAACACUACUUUUUUAUUUUUUCCAAGGGAGAAGCAGCAAUUCGGGGAUUUUGUUCUUUCUGGCUGCGUUUAAAGGGGGGAACUUGUAAAUAUUUAUGGUGCUUAAUCGUGAAAUAAACAUUUAACACAUUUAGGGAGUAGAAAGAUG